UAUUGGGCGUAAAGAGCUCGUAGGCGGUUCGAUAAGUCGGGUGUUAAACCCCCAGGCUCAACCUGGGGCCGCCACCCGAAACUAUCGUGACUAGAGUUUGGUAGGGGAUCACGGAAUUCCUGGUGUAGCGGUGGAAUGCGCAGAUAUCAGGAGGAACACCAGUAGCGAAGGCGGUGAUCUGGGCCAAUACUGACGCUGAGGAGCGAAAGCGUGGGGAGCGAACAGGAUUAGAUACCCUGGUAGUCCACGCCGUAAACGGUGGGCACUAGGUGUGGGGACUUUUCAACGGUUUCCGCGCCGCAGCUAACGCAUUAAGUGCCCCGCCUGGGGAGUACGGCCGCAAGGCUAAAACUCAAAGAAAUUGACGGGGGCCCGCACAAGCAGCGGAGCAUGUGGCUUAAUUCGAUGCAACGCGAAAAACCUUACCUAGAUUUGACAUGCUGGGAAAAGCCGUAGAGAUACGGUGUCCUUCGGGGCUCAGCACAGGUGGUGCAUGGCUGUCGCCAGCUCGUGUCGUGAGAUGUUGGGUUAAGUCCCGCAACGAGCGCAACCCUUGUUCUAUGUUGCCAGCACGUAAUGGUGGGGACUCGUAGAAGACUGCCGGGGCCAACUCGGAGGAAGGUGGGGACGACGUCAAGUCAUCAUGCCCCUUACGUCUAGGGCUGCACACAUGCUACAAUGGGC
rnacentral:rRNA from 1 species